GCCAGAAUGAGUGGUGAUGACAUGAGGAUUGUGGUACAUGAUUAAGUGGGGUGUGUGAUGAUCAUCAUGAAUUAUGAAAAAAAAAAAAAAAAGGGGGGGGUGAGGGGAAGUACAACUGGCUUAGAUGGAGACUGCUAAUGUGUCAUGUUGGGAGAUCUGCAUAGAAGUCCUAUUGGUUUGGGCUUUAUUUGGUCUGAAAAGAGAAUAAAUUGUGUUGUCUUUUCUUCUUUCUCUCUCUCUCUCUCUCUCUUUUUUUUUUUUUUUUUUUUUUUUGGCAGAGGAUCUUUGUAGGGAAGCUGGGAUCUGACAUGGUUUGGUUCCUGCCAUUGUGUGGUAUGUACCUUGGGCUGAUGGGAGCAAAGGGAACACUGGGACACCUGUGCCUUCAGCUGCUCACCUGCAGCCCAGGCCUGCCAUGGCAGCUCACAGCUGCUCUGCUGUGUGCUGUGGUUUCCACCUACCUGGGGUGGUUGGGCUUGGCUAUAUACUCAUGAAAACUACUAGAUUGACAAUGGCAGAGAAUAAAGUUCUGGGCGGGGAUUGCAUCUGUGAACAUCUCAGGAGACAGGCAAGGAGCUUCAGGUGCCCAGGUGGUGCUUUCAGACUCUUCUUGCCCCCAUUCCUUCCUUUCCCAGAGUGGAUAACCUGGCUAAGUUUAAGUACAUGAGUGAUUGCUUUAACUUUAAUGCAGAACAUCCUGGGACACUAAUUUUUACAUACAUGCAUGGUUAUGAUUAUCGUUAAUUCCAAACUUGCUUAUAUGAAAAGGUUGCAUCAUUACUGUGUUUCAAAAUUAUAUUUAAAUCGAUUGUGCUUCUGCACUGCUGUCUUCUGUCUAUGUUGCCUCUCUUCCAAUUAGAGUGGAUGACAUGCUGAAAUAUUGUUGUGGUAGACUUGAAAUUCCUAAAGCAGAACAUACCAGAGAUUUCAGGAGAACAACCCCCUCUUUUGUUCUACAGCAGAUUUUUCUGUUGUCCAAAUGCCUCCCUGGUGACAGCCCUCACGAGUAAACAAUUUUUUGGUCACCAGCAGCAGGGGCUUACCCAGCAGUUCCUGCUUUCUGUGUUGUACCAGUUCUCCUGCCCCAACUGCUGCUGCUGAUCUAAGUGCACUGAAUUGAAUAGCAAGGAGCUAACACCCCCCUCAGACGCUAUCACCCCUCUCAGACACUAUCCAGGAUCUUUUGUUCAGUCCCCAAAAUGAAACUGGCAGAGCAAGCAACAGACAUUUCCAUGCUAAUCCCAUAUUAUAAAUAGCCACAAAGGAAGACGGCUAAGGAAAUUGCAUGUGUUUUUUU
rnacentral:lncRNA from 1 species